rnacentral:rRNA from 1 species
GACGAACGCUGGCGGCGUGCUUAACACAUGCAAGUCGAACGGAAAGGCCCUGCUUUUGUGGGGUGCUCGAGUGGCGAACGGGUGAGUAACACGUGAGUAACCUGCCCUUGACUUUGGGAUAACUUCAGGAAACUGGGGCUAAUACCGGAUAGGAGCUCCUGCUGCAUGGUGGGGGUUGGAAAGUUUCGGCGGUUGGGGAUGGACUCGCGGCUUAUCAGCUUGUUGGUGGGGUAGUGGCUUACCAAGGCUUUGACGGGUAGCCGGCCUGAGAGGGUGACCGGCCACAUUGGGACUGAGAUACGCCCCAGACUCCUACGGGAGGCAGCAGUGGGGAAUAUUGCACAAUGGGCGGAAGCCUGAGGCAGCAACGCCGCGGGCGGGAUGACGGCCUUCGGGUUGUAAACCGCUUUCGCCUGUGACGAAGCGUGAGUGACGGUAAUGGGUAAAGAAGAACCGGCUAACUACG